UCCAUCAGUACAUUUAUUUUGAAUACUAGGUUAUGUUACAGGUAAUCAGAAUUUACAAAGAAAGUUCUUGAAUUUGACCUUUUUAGUGCCCGAGCACCGACACAGUGACGGCGAGGCCCUAUUGAAACCUUAAGGAUUAUUUUGAUUAAUUUUUGAGUUUCAUGUAUGUUUGUCCUGUGCUAUAUGUUCCCACUCCUGGCCUGCACCUUGUCGUGGAGACAUUAAAACACCCUGGCAAAUAUGAAAAGGAUAAAGACAUCACCUUUUCCUAAAGAUAUUUCUAGUUUGCCAAAUGAUGCCAGUUUUCUGUAUCCUUACUUCAUUAAGUAAUAACUUCAUAACAUAGUUACAUGUAUUAUAAGUAAACUUUGAAGUACACUUCUUAUUCUUUUGUCUUCUUUAAAAUGUGUAAUCAAUUAGUAUUGGUA